rnacentral:rRNA from 1 species
UGAGGAAUAUUGCGCAAUGGGCGAAAGCCUGACGCAGCAACGCCGCGUGAGGGACGAAGGCCUUCGGGUCGUAAACCUCUUUUCUGGGGGAAGAGCAAGGACGGUACCUCAGGAAUAAGUCUCGGCUAACUACGUGCCAGCAGCCGCGGUAAAACGUAGGAGGCGAGCGUUAUCCGGAUUUACUGGGCGUAAAGCGUACGCAGGUGGCUUUGUUAGUCGGACAUGAAAGCUCCUGGCUUAACUGGGAGAGGCUGUUCGAUACUGCGAGGCUUGAGGUUGGGAGAGGGACGUGGAAUUCCCGGUGUAGUGGUGGAAUGCGUAGAUAUCGGGAGGAACACCAGUGGCGCAAGCGGCGUCCUGGCCCACACCUGACGCUGAGGUACGAAAGCGUGGGUAGGCAAACAGGAUUAGAUACCCUGGUAGUCCACGCUGUAAACGAUGUCAACUGGGUGUCGGUAGUUUUACACUAUCGGUGCCGAAGCUAACGCGUUAAGUUGACCG